rnacentral:rRNA from 1 species
UACAGAGGUCCCGAGCGUUGUUCGGAUUCACUGGGCGUAAAGGGUGCGUAGGUGGUGGGGUAAGUCUCGUGUGAAAGCUUGCAGCUUAACUGCGAAAAGUCACGGGAUACUAUCCGGCUAGAGGCUUGGAGGGGGGACUGGAAUACUUGGUGUAGCAGUGAAAUGCGUAGAUAUCAAGUGGAACACCAGUGGCGAAGGCGAGUCCCUGGACAAGACCUGACACUGAGGCACGAAAGCCAGGGGAGCAAACAGG